ensembl:lncRNA
GAGCUUUUACAGUCAGACUACAGUACAUGUACAGUACAGUACAGUCAGCGAUGGAGACCACUACGGUUCCUGUUUCGAUGACCCCAGCUACUCUAGCUCUACAAACCCCAACAAGGAUUUUACACAAUGACACCUGGACAGCAGGAGAAAGAGACAGUGGCAUAUUUCCGUUGCAUUCUGGGAUGCGAGUAGACAGGAGUGUUUGGAGUAAUUAUCAGCUUGGCUGUGCCGUACAUCUUCAAGCAGCAGGACUAAAGCUCAGGUGGAUCUUAAAAAAGUCAUUGUUUGUUUUUAAAAACAUAAACCACUUUUGCAACACAUUUAAACACAUUUAUUUAUUUAUUUGUUUAACAGGCCUUUAGAAGCAUGUAUUUUAUCCUUGUUUUACCAAUUUUGUUUUGUUUGUUUAUUGAUUGAUUGAUUUUUAUUUUGAUGAAUAACACCAGGUAUAUUAAUUAAAAAACAAAAUAGAAUUAAAUUAGUUUUAAUGAUGAUUUCAAUAUACAUUGUUAUUAGUAGCCAAAUGCUUCACUUACAUAUCCCUGCAACACUGAUUUCAAAAUAUAAUUACAUCUUUGGGAUCUUUGAGAAUAGCUGUCAUAUGUGCUUUAUACAGACAUGGUGUACAUUAAGUUUUGCUCUCAUCAGGCAGGAACGAAUCUCCUGCAUAAGAAAUUCCUUACUGAAAAUCUACAAAAAGCCCUCCUUCAAUCUCUUUGUCUUAUUAGCUAAAAAUGGAAUGUGCAAUUACAGUGUGGUUUGGUCCCACUGCAGCUUCACUAUCAAAUGAAUUGAAAUGUUCCCACACAUGCACACAGGAAAUAAAAACGUUCUUCACCUUUUGUUUCCAAUUUAUUCGCGGGGAAUUUUUACUUUUUUUCCCUGAAAUGUGCAUCUUAAUUAUUCUGCUUUGAAUUUGCCAAGAGAAUGAAUGCAGAAUGAAUCACUACAUGGUUUCCCUUUCAAAGUCCUUUGUGAAACCAAAUCACAAUGUUAAUUUCAGGUAACCUAUAUUACAAUAAUUAAAAAUCAAAUGUUGCCAAUAUAAAACACAUUUUUAUUUUGUUCUAUUGGGAUUUAUUUAAUCUUGUAAAAUAUGCAUAUUAGACAAAUUUGUAGAGGCCUGUAAAGCAUGACAAAUUUGCAUAUUGUGUAUUUAGUGCGUUAGAAUAUUUAUUUUAAUUUUCUUCAUGUACUCAAUUCAGUGUUUGAUUUCACAAGAGUUUUAUUUAUUUAACAAAAUAUUUAACAUUUUAAAUGUGGUAAUGUUAAAAGUCUUUUGUUAUUUUUAAAUUAUAAUGACAAUAAAAUGACAGAUUUUUUUCUAUUAUAAUAAAUUGUUGAAAUGCCUCCAGCAAAAUAAUAUUUUGAAAUAUUUUGUAAGCACAUACACACAGUUCAUGACCUAAUGACCUUUUAAAAUAAAUUUUAAGAAAUAAAUAUUUGAAUAUUUUUAAUAAUAUGAUUCAAAAUAAGAUUUAUACAAUUUAGUCUUACAUUAUUAUUAUUAUUAAUAAUAAUAAUAAUAAUAAUAAUAUAAUUUGAAUAUUGUAUGUUAUAUCUUUGCCUGUGGUAUUUCCCUGCAUUUAGCGCAAUAAUUUUAUUUAUUUAUUUAUUUAUUUAUUGAUUGUGCAAUAUGUUUAUUUAUCAGAACACAAUUUUUUUUCCUUUUUUCUUUUAUUAUUUUGAAGUUUCUGAGAAAAAAAUGCAGAAUUGUCAAAACACAGCUUCUGGAAAACACCAUAUAUUUUAUCUUCCCAUUCUUUCAGAAAUAUUUUUUUUCUUCCCUAGAGUGGAUGUGUUGAUGACAAGCUUUCUUAUCAGGCAUAAAUAUUUCUGUUUUGUUUUUUGUUUUUCGGCAGCAGAAAAGUAGUUUUGCAGGAAUGUGAUUUUGUGCAGUGUUCACACUCUCGGCCCCUCACUGAAACACACAUCGGUCCUCAGAUCUCUGGAGAUCAACAAUACACCACUGGAACCAGUUUCCAGAAACUAUAACCCAUGCUGUACUGAGGCUGUUUAUAAUGAUUUUCAAAAAGCAAAUAACAUGCAACCAGGGUGUGAAUAAUGGGAUGGGCUCUUCAGUAAGUUUUAAUUUUACAAAUAAAUACAGAGUUGAUAUGUAAAAUUUAGGUGGUCCAAGUGGAUAUUUUUAUUUGGUGCAAAAUAGACACAAACAAAAGUCAUGAAUAUCUGAAGAGGUCUCCAUAGCAACAGUAUAUGCACUUCAAGAUCACGUUUUGUUAUAAUCUGUUGGCAAAUUCGUAAAUAUGCUUUGGUAAAACAAGCUGAGGACCAUGUUUAUUUAUUCUGUUUUAUUUAUUUAUUUAUUUUUAAUUUUUUAUAUAUAUUAUACAUAUAGAUAUAAAUACUAUUUAAAUAUAUUAUAAAUAUAUUAAAUAUGU